rnacentral:tRNA from 1 species
GAGGAUAUAGCUCAGUGGCAGAGCGCUUGCCUAGCAUGCAUGAGGUCCUGGGUUCAAUUCCCAGUACCUCCA